rnacentral:lncRNA from 1 species
GAAGAUUUGGUCAAUGAAGUAGCAAUGCUGGGAAGAUAGUUCAAUAAACUGUUGAAAAAGAUGGAUGUAAGAUCUAAGGCAAAUGUCAGGAACAUGUCAUCUGACAUCAGUAAAUCCAACAAUGCUGGAAGAAGAGCAAGAUCAGAUGAGAAGCUCUGAAAUUCUGGUAUCAGAUAUAAGAUGUCGAAGGUAAUGUCACGACAUUAAUAUCUGUUAACACACAUAGGAUAAAGAGACAUAAUGGUAA